GCAAUUAUAGUGAUCACAGCACAGGAGUGGAGUGUGACGGCCGUCCUCCUUUCACUGUCCAGUCGCGUACGCGAGGCACUGCAGUUAUAUUGGAGUGGGUGAGUAAUAAAUGUCUAUGUAGUGUUUCAUAAAAAGUCAUGAACAACAGUAUCGAAUGGAAUGGAAUGGAAUGUAAGUGCAUUUGUAAUACUUAUUCUUUAUCUGGAUAGUUUUGCCCACGCGGACACAAGUUGUGGAUGUGGAACAGUCAGCCAUUGCUCAGGCAUGGGAUGCAAGGAGGGGAUUUUAUGCUCGCAUCAAACGUGCUAUUGUCUGGAAACAAUUACACUAAGAUCGCCCUCCUCUUCAAAUAUAUGAACAUGAGAAUGGUGGUAUCUUCAACUCACUAUGGGAUACAGCAUUCCUACAGCAUACCAGCUGUAAGGGAGUUUUGGAAAGAGAAGAGGGCUGCCAUUAUCAACGGAUUACAGGCUAAAGACAGUGUUGUUGCCCUUGGUAAGUAAUAAAUUGCAUGUAUUUGCAAAUCCUCAAAUACCUGACAUGCAUCUAUAUUUCCAUUUUAGCUGACGGACGAAUGGACUCCCCAGGACACUCAGCCAUGUGUUGUACAUACACUACAAUGGAGCUGAACACCCGGGACAUCAUAAGUGUUGUCACAGUUGAUAAAAGACAUGUUGGUAGGAAGAGCACGUCUAUGGAGAAGGAUGCCUUCAUAAAAACAUUUGAUGUCCUCAUGAGGGAGUUGAACAUCAAAGAAAUAGUGACUGACGCGCAUGUGCAGAUUGCUUCCCUCAUGCAUCCAGAAAAGGGGAGAUACAAGGAGAGGGGCGUGUUCCAUUCCCUCGACGUCUGGCAUGCAGCAAAGAAUCUCACUAAGAGACUUCACGCUGCUGGAGUGAUGUCGGGACAAAAACCAAUACUUGGCUGGAUAAAAGAUAUUGUAAACCAUUUUUGGUUUGCUUGUCAACAUGCAAGCAACAGAGAGGAGUUUAUGGUGAGUAUGAUCAUUCAAAAUGUAUUCAAUGGUUGUGUAAAGUACAGUUCUGGGCUAUUUAUGUAA
rnacentral:lncRNA from 1 species